UACGUAGGGUGCGAGCGUUGUCCGGAAUUACUGGGCGUAAAGGGCUCGUAGGCGGCCAACUAAGUCAGACGUGAAAUCCCUCGGCUUAACCGGGGAAUGGCGUCUGAUACUGGAUGGCUUGAAUCCGGGAGAGGGAUGCGGAAUUCCAGGUGUAGCGGUGAAAUGCGUAGAUAUCUGGAGGAACACCGGUGGCGAAGGCGGCAUCCUGGACCGGCAUUGACGCUGAGGAGCGAAAGCCAGGGGAGCAAACGGG
rnacentral:rRNA from 1 species